ensembl:lncRNA novel transcript, antisense to PRR12
UAAAGUGUUUGCCGUUGGGUUUUCGUUUGGCUGGUUGUGUGUACACAGUGUAUACAAGUUGAGUUGUACAGAAGCCCAAGAAAGAGCAAGAGACAAAGGGUAGUGGGAGCAGGGGUGGGUGGGGGCCAGACACAGACAAAUCGCCGUAGAAAAGGAGUGGGAGGGGCAGAGAGAGGGGACCCUUCUCCCCCCUCCACCUCCCCAAGCCCCUGCCCCAGGUAUGUACAAUAAAUAAGAUUAAAAAUAAUUAACAAGAUGCGUUUUCCCCUCCCACCCGACGCCAAAUGCCCUGCGGAGGGAAUGGCCUUUAGCAAAGAUCUUGGCCUGCAGGGGGGACUUGGGGGGAAGGGGUCCCCCAGC